GACGAACGCUGGCGGCAUGCCUAAUACAUGCAAGUCGAACGAGAGGAAGGAAAGCUUGCUUUCCUGAAUCUAGUGGCGAACGGGUGAGUAACACGUAGGUAACCUGCCCAUGUGCCCGGGAUAACUUCUGGAAACGGAUGCUAAAACCGGAUAGGUAGAAGACAAGCAUUUGAGUGCUAUUAAAGUGGCCUUGGCCAUGAAAAGGGAUGGACUUGCGGUGCAGUAGCUGGUUGGUGAGGUAACGGCCCACCAAGGCGACGAUGCAUAGCCGGCCUGAGAGGGCGGACGGCCACAUUGGGACUGAGACACGGCCCAAACUCCUACGGGAGGCAGCAGUAGGGAAUUUUCGUCAAUGGGGGGAACCCUGAACGAGCAAUGCCGCGUGAGUGAGGAAGGUCUUCGGAUCGUAAAGCUCUGUUGUAAGAGAAAAACGGCACUCAUAGGGAAUGAUGAGUGAGUGAUGGUAUCUUACCAGAAAGUCACGGCUAACUACGUGCCAGCCGCCGCUGUAA
rnacentral:rRNA from 1 species